GAUGAACGCUGGCGGCGUGCUUAACACAUGCAAGUCGAACGAAGCACUUUAUUUGAUUUCCUUCGGGACUGAUUAUUUUGUGACUGAGUGGCGGACGGGUGAGUAGCGCGUGGGUAACCUGCCUUGUACAGGGGGAUAACAGUUGGAAACGGCUGCUAAUACCGCAUAAGCGCACGGCAUCGCAUGAUGCAGUGUGAAAAACUCCGGUGGUAUAAGAUGGACCCGCGUUGGAUUAGCUAGUUGGUGAGGUAACGGCCCACCAAGGCGACGAUCCAUAGCCGACCUGAGAGGGUGACCGGCCACAUUGGGACUGAGACACGGCCCAAACUCCUACGGGAAGCAGCAGUGGGGAAUAUUGCACAAUGGGCGAAAGCCUGAUGCAGCGAAGCCGCGUGAGCGAAGAAGUAUUUCGGUAUGUAAAGCUCUAUCAGCAGGGAAGAUAAUGACGGUACCUGACUAAGAAGCACCGGCUAAAUACGUG
rnacentral:rRNA from 1 species